GACGAACGCUGGCGGCGUGCUUAACACAUGCAAGUCGAACGGAAAGGCCCUGCUUUUGUGGGGUGCUCGAGUGGCGAACGGGUGAGUAACACGUGAGUAACCUGCCCUUGACUUUGGGAUAACUUCAGGAAACUGGGGCUAAUACCGGAUAGGAGCUCCUGCUGCAUGGUGGGGGUUGGAAAGUUUCGGCGGUUGGGGAUAGACUCGCGGCUUAUCAGCUUGUUGGUGGGGUAGUGGCUUACCAAGGCUUUGACGGGUAGCCGGCCUGAGAGGGUGACCGGCCACAAUGGGACUGAGAUACGGCCCAGACUCCUACGGGAGGCAGCAGUGGGGAAUAUUGCACAAUGGGCGGAAGCCUGAUGCAGCAACGCCGCGUGCGGGAUGACGGCCUUCGGGUUGAAAACCGCUGUCGCCUGUGACGAAGCGUGAGUGACGGUAAUGGGUAAAGAAGCACCGGCUAACUACGUG
rnacentral:rRNA from 1 species